rnacentral:rRNA from 1 species
AUUGAACGCUGGCGGCAUGCCUUACACAUGCAAGUCGAACGGUAACAGGUCUUCGGAUGCCGACGAGUGGCGAACGGGUGAGUAAUACAUCGGAACGUGCCUAGUAGUGGGGGAUAACUACUCGAAAGAGUGGCUAAUACCGCAUGAGAUCUACGGAUGAAAGAAGGGGAUCGCAAGACCUUGUGCUACUAGAGCGGCCGAUGGCAGAUUAGGUAGUUGGUGGGAUAAAAGCUUACCAAGCCGACGAUCCGUAGCUGGUCUGAGAGGACGAUCAGCUACACUGGGACUGGGAAAGCGCCCAGACACCUACGGGAGGCAGCAGUGGGGAAUUUUGGACAAUGGGGGCAAGCCUGAUCCAGCAAUGCCGCGUGCAGGAUGAAGGUCUUCGGGUUGUAAACUUCUUUUGUACGGAACGAAAAGCCCUGGGUUAAUACCCUGGGGUCAUGACGGUACCGUAAGAAUAAGCACCGGCUAACUACGUGCCAGCAGCCGCCGUAAAAC